UUGAUGAGAGAGGUCAGAGCCUUUGGAACAGAGAAGAAAAAUUCAGUCAGAAAAUCAGUUCUAUAUUUGGAGCAACAACAACAACAAAAAGCCUUUUCAAAGGAAAGCAACUGUCUGCACCAGGAUCCUGUUCCCUGUCCUUGGAAAACACGUGUUAACCCUAUUAGCAGAACAGAAAGGAAAAGCUGAAGUGAAAAGCUCCUCUCCCUUGAUCUCCACAAACACCUUGAAAGCUGUUGACAUGUUUGGAUUAGAGUCUAAGUCUACAGCAUGCUGGAGCUACACAUCUGGCAUUUCUAAUGACACUGUUUCAGGAGACUCGAUAAACUCGGAAUCUUCACCUGAUGAAAGCAGGAGAAAUACAACACAGUGACCUUGCAAUUUCCACAGCCCCAGCCAGCCUAACCUUUGAAAAAUGCAGCACUGAAUUGUUCCACUCCAAACUUGUACAAUUAAGAGGCAAAGUGAAGGUUUUAAACAAAGGAGUGAAGAGUUUACAUGGAAGGAGAAGAAAAAGGUGGUGGAGGAAACAUCCAGAUCAUGGGGUAUCUGUCACAAGUGGUCCUCUAUAAAUGAGGGAAGAGCUGGAAAAGAUCAGUGAAGCAAAAGGAUUGUUAAUAAUGUGAAGGAAGAUAACCAGGGACCUGGAAUGCACCAGUCGUGUUGGACCCCACUGGGGCUGCACAGGAAAACAAGGAUGAAGUUGCUGGGUCCAGCCAAGCCUGAACUGGAGCUGACACAGAUAAACUGCUAAAGCCAAAAAGACAAAACUCUGUGCUUAACAUUUUGAUUUUAAGCAUAAUUGUGUCACCAGGCUUUUCAGCUGCUGUUGUAACUAAUGGUUACGAGCCCACACUGCUCUGAAAAGCCUCUCCGUCUCAGUGUUUCCUGCCCAAGUCAUUCCAUUUGUGAAUUUUUGCUUGCAUUUAGCAUUCAGUGGGAUUUUUUAUUAUUUCAUUUCCCCCUUCUUUCCUCUUCUCCUGAAGGAAAGAAGCAGAGCAGGAGGGUUAUGUGUGAUAAAGACAUGGUUCCUGUUCAUGUCUUAAGACUUUCCCAUGACAAGGGUAGUGCUAUAAAUAUAAAACCCCAAUUAUUUUUAAAACACAAUUUAGCUGAGGAUGAAAUAACUAAAUAAAUUAAGCCUUAUUUCCCUGUAAUACCUACAACUGUGAUGCAGUCUGUAAUUGCAGCAUUUCUCUAGGUCUGUUCACAAGGAAUGUGCAUGUGUUUGAAGUUCACCUUGUUCCUGUUGUGACUAAAAUAUUCUGUGCAAUAAGGAGGUAAAAUAAUUGUAUCAUUUCUGCAAACGAGUCCUGUGUUCAGGAACGAGCUGUGCAGUGGCAGAGAGACCUGCACUCUUUUCUGCAUUCACAGUCUCCCCUCACACUGGUAAUUGGAUGCAGAGCCAUUUCCACACUGUUUUUCCCAUCAGCUUGGAAAGCACCUUCUGUUUUGCCCCUGACAUCAGUCAGUAUGGACAUAUAGUGUGAAGGGCAGCAGGAAUAACAUUGAUCCCUGCUCUGAAUUCCAACAGAGGGGUGUGCUCUGGUGGUAUCUGACUUCCUUAGGAGAAUCCAGCACUGCUGAGCCAAAAUACUGCACGAAACAGCCCAUUGUCCUUUGAUAUCCUGCCAAUUACUGUCAUUGCAGUGGGGAAAAAUAAAAGUCACAAAAAAAGUCUUGGUUUCCAUUCCUUUCCACAAGUUAUAAGCACACAAUGAGUAUUUGAUUGAUUUACGUCAAUCUGCCACUUUAAUCCACAGGA